GGGGCGGGCGCUGCGAGUGACGUUUCCCUUCGCCUUUCUUUCCCCUUGGAUUUUCGAGAUGCUGCUGGGAAAACUUGCGCAGCCGGCGCACAGCUUGAGCGAACGGCUGUCGGCGGGCGGCUGCAGGCGGUUCUGGGGCUGGCUGAACGCCGUGUUCAACAAGGUGGACUACGAGCGCAUCCAGGCUGUUGGGCCCGACAGGGCAGCCUCAGAGUGGCUGCUGCGGUGUGGAGCACUGGUACGCUAUAAAGGCUAUGAGAAAUGGCAGCAGGACUACAGCGGCCUCCCCACUGGGCCCUUAGGGAAAUACAAGAUAGAAGCAAUCAACGCCACUGAGUCUUGCAUCAUGUACAGAGGAUUUGACUACUUGGAUGGUCUUGAACACGUUACUGAAAUCAAGCUGCAGAAGUGUAUUUAUAUACAGGAUGAGUGUUUGCAGAGGCUCAGCGACACAAAGAACCUACAAAAGAGCCUCCUGCAGCUGAAGAUCAUUUCCUGUGGGAAUGUCACAGAUAAAGGCAUCAUUGCACUUCACAAGCUGACGAACCUUGAAUAUUUGUAUCUGAGUGACCUUCCUGGAAUAAGACAGAAAGAAACUACUGCUCGUGUCCUUCAGCAGGCACUGCCAAACCUAGAGCUGGAGCUGGAUCUGGACUGAAUGCAACGAGGGAUGUUUGAUUUCAUGCUCUUUAUCACAUGUUGUGUAAAUUAAGUUGUGGAUGCCGCUCUAUUUACAGGCGAAUGACUUCACAUGACAAAACCAGCAAAUAUAAAUAACUUCGUAUUGCAAGGAAGAGACAGACAGGAGAAGCUCUGGAAAGGCCAAAGAAAAAAAGCAGACUUCAGUAAUUACAUUCUCCUUCUGUUCCCAGUGCCUGUGGAGCCUUCCAAACACUGGCUAACGUGAGCUUGGAGUGCACCACUUUCCUUCCACCAGUAGCCCAGAGUACCUUGCAGUCCAUUUCUGUAUACAUCAUCACCUGUAUUAAUUCAGGUUUCCACCACGUGGCCUUUUAUAAGUGCUGAAGGAUUGGAACUUUGAAUGCUAGGUAGUUUUUCAUCUGCCACCCACUCAGAUGUUAGGGAAAUGGUAGUUGGAUUUCCUCGUUUUGCAGAAGUACUUCUUGCUGUCCAAAGCUGGCAGAACAUUGCUGCUGCUUAACUGAGGCAGGUACUGGAAGUAAAGCAAGAGUUACAUCACGUGUAGUUGUUUGAAAGAAGGAGAAAGCAUGCAGUUCAUCUUUCAAACAGGGAUAUAAGGCAUAAAAUUAUUCAUACUGCACUCCUGUACUUUCCAAACUAAGAGUCACGAGCACAUGCAGUUUGCUCAGCAGUCCUGCUACACCUCAUCCUGAAUGCACUUUCCUAAAUAAACCUCAUCUGUCACACUGCUGUGCUGCCUAUCCCCAGUCACCCGAUGGAGCUGCAGUGCAGAAUUCAGCCUGCAGUGAGUUCCUCUUUAACCAGGAGAUUCCUUUUGGAUCUGUUCAGGUGUUGUACUGAAGGACAUGGUUUAGUGGGAAAUCUGGUGGUAGGUGGCUGCUUGGACUGGAUCCUGGAGGUCUUUGCCACCCUUAGUGAUUCUGUGGUUCUGUCAUCUUCUCCUCGGGCUAAAAUUAAGGCUGCUCCAAUGUGAGAACUUCACCUCCCCACGAACUGCCCAACCUGUUCUUGAGCCCGACUUGUGGGCACCACGUUAAGAAAACAACUUCCCUCCCUGGACACUGAGCAUUAAACACUACAAUGAAAGCAUUACCCCCGGCACGUGCUUCCGUGUCAGCUUGGCUGGUUUUCGAGCUGCUUUUUCAUGUUCUUUCCCCAGAUCUGCCUCCCUAAUGCUGUCGAAAUAGGGGUGCUGCAGCAGCUGCUCACACGUCUGCCUCUCCGCAGGGUCCAUACGAAGGCAGCCCUUAGAAAAGACCAAGGGUCACACAGAACAUAAUGAUACAUAAAGGUCUGCACGAUUCCAGCUCUUUGCAACAGCCAAUGAGUAUUUGCACAGAUGGAUGCAUAGGUUUUAUUUUUCAAGGAAUUCUACAAAUCUGGCUUUUUACUGUCAGCUGGAAGCUUGCAAAGCAGCUCACAUGAACAAACGCCACCUCUGACAGAAGGCAAUACUUAGAAACUAAGGGUAGAGGGACACUUGUUCUACAGCAAACCAUCAAGUCUCAGAAAACAGCUAAGCCCAUGACUUCCAGUUGAACCAGAACAGUCUUCUUAAACUGAGGAAUCCAGUGCAUCACUAGCUGUGUUGUUCCAGGGUUUGGUGCUACCUAAAGCUGCACCUUUAUUUUUAAUGCUUUCACCCUCAUGGUUUCCACUUGGUGCAUCUCAAUGGAACAAUUUGUUUUCCAUGUCUGUGCUAAAGACGAGCAGGUUAACAAGAAGCAGACUAAAAGUUUUCUCCAGUUCCCCUUCAGCUCUGUUUUACUAUGAACCUAUGAUCGUUCGGUAGCCAAAUCUCAAACCAUCUACCAUCUGAACAAGCAAAGCAGACUGCAUUUGUUAAGUCUCAGUGUGGAGCUCAAGCUGUAGCUCCUUGCCUCCUGGGCACGCUGCUUCGGGUAGAGGACCUUGUGAGCUUCAGCUUCAGACACUUUGCUUACCUUCAUGAGAGCUAAAGCAGGGUAUGAAAUAGUAGGAAAUUUCAUUUCCAAUGGCUCCUGGAGGAAAAAGAGAGGAAAAAAAAGUAGUUGUAUUAGCAAGCUUUUCUUUCACCACGUU